GAUGAACGCUGGCGGCGUGCCUAAUACAUGCAAGUCGAGCGAACAGACGAGGAGCUUGCUCCUCUGACGUUAGCGGCGGACGGGUGAGUAACACGUGGAUAACCUACCUAUAAGACUGGGAUAACUUCGGGAAACCGGAGCUAAUACCGGAUAAUAUAUUGAACCGCAUGGUUCAAUAGUGAAAGACGGUUUUGCUGUCACUUAUAGAUGGAUCCGCGCCGCAUUAGCUAGUUGGUAAGGUAACGGCUUACCAAGGCAACGAUGCGUAGCCGACCUGAGAGGGUGAUAGGCCACACUGGAACUGAGACACGGUCCAGACUCCUAAGGGAGGCAGCAGUAGGGAAUCUUCCGCAAUGGGCGAAAGCCUGACGGAGCAACGCCGCGUGAGUGAUGAAGGUCUUCGGAUAGUAAAACUCUGUUAUUAGGGAAGAACAAAUGUGUAAGUAACUAUGCACGUCUUGACGGUACCUAAUCAGAAAGCCACGGCUAACUACGUG
rnacentral:rRNA from 1 species